UGAGCUUAUAAAUGAUAGUGAACAUGGAAUAUCAAGGGAAAAAUUAUGUUUAACUCUGUGAUCGCUGAGGUAUUGUACGUAUCCAGGUUCCAGUCAAGAGAUCAUAGUGAACCUCAUCAUCAUCAUCAAGAGACUUUGCAUGAAUCCCAGUGUGCAGUGAAGAGUUGAUGGCGUCUCUAACAGUGGUGUAGAACUUGGACUACUGCAAGUAUCAGGGUCCAAUCAAGAGACCAUGGUGACUUCAUAAGUGAUUGUUAACAGAGACUUUGCUUAUAUCCAGGUAACUGAUGAUGUGUCUUUAAGCCCCCUUCAAAUAUCUGAUCUUCAGAUUUCUUGGUAAGUGAGGAUGGUGUGUCUAACAUUUGUGCACCAUGUUUUUUUUUUUUAAAGAUAUUCAGGUAAGAAGUGACACUGUCUCAACCAAAUCUAUUAAGCAUUAGACCUUACAGGAUGAGAAUUUAAAUAUAAUGUAUGUUGAACCUAGGUAGUGCUAGAGGUAUAUGCAGGUAAGGGACCCUACAGGUCCAUACCACAGUACUGAUCGGGAGAUUUUUACAUGUGCCCUGCAGAGAGGUGGUGGUGUCUCUAAGAACAUUAUUGGCCUUGAAGUACUGCCAGGUUGAUGGUUCCCUCAUUGAUGAAAGUGACCAAGAUUAUUUGCAGGUGUCAUUGUAGAGCAAGUUGUUUUCUUAAAUGUAUUUGUCAUGUAUAUUUUUUUGAGAUUCCAGUCAAGGAAUCAUGGUGAAUCUAACAGUGGUCAUUACCAGGACAUUGCUAGUAACCAGGUGAGUGAUAAAGUGGGUCUUACUACAAUGCAGACUGUCUGAUCUUCAGUAUCUAGUAAGUGAGGAUGAUGUCCCUAACAUAUGUGUUAUCAUGUUUAUUGCCGGUAUCUCAUUAAGGUCUUUGCUAGUAAGGACGUAUGAUAUUAUGGGAUAUUAACUCAUUAGAGACUUUAGUUGUUUCCACUCAUCUAGGUAAUUAAUUAGUGACGUUCCCAUGAUUCUUAUAAUAACCUUGCUUUUGGCAUGUAUACAGUUAAGAAAUUAAUUCUUCCUGAACAACACUAGUAAGCAAGAGCAUUAACUGUAUUCUUGUUUAGAAAUAAUGUGUUUUUUAUACUCGUGAUAAUAGAUAUGCAAGUAUCCAAGUAAUUUAUCACAUUGUCCAUCACAGCGAUAUUGACCAUAGAAUUUUUACAGGUAUCCCUUCAAAAAAAGAAGGUACCUCUUACUAGGGUUGGACCUUGGAGUUCUGCAGUUACCCAGCUAACACUGAUGAGUUACAAAAUGAUACAACUGACCAAGGGAAUGUUUUCGGUGUACAGGUA